rnacentral:rRNA from 1 species
CCUACGGGCGGCAGCAGUGAGGAGUAUUGGUCAAUGGGCGCGAGUCUGAACCAGCCAAGUAGCGUGAAGGAUGACUGCCCUACGGGUUGUAAACUUCUUUUAUAAAGGAAUAAAGUGAGGCACGUGUGCCUUUUUGUAUGUACUUUAUGAAUAAGGAUCGGCUAACUCCGUGCCAGCAGCCGCGGUAAUACGGAGGAUCCGAGCGUUAUCCGGAUUUAUUGGGUUUAAAGGGAGCGUAGAUGGGUUGUUAAGUCAGUUGUGAAAGUUUGCGGCUCAACCGUAAAAUUGCAAUUGAUACUGGCAGCCUUGAGUACAGUUGAGGUAGGCGGAAUUCGUGGUGUAGCGGUGAAAUGCUUAGAUAUCACGAAGAACUCCGAUUGCGAAGACAGCCUACUAAACUGCCACUGACAUUGAUGCUCGAAAGUGUGGGUAUCAAACAGGAUUAGAUACCCUAGUAGUC